UCAGAGGGUAAGCUGAAUAGAGGAGAGAAGCCGUGUGAAAGGCCAGGGGUGGGACUGUACAUUUGUACCUGUGGUACAUCCUGCCCUGUGUGGAAACAGGCAUUAAAGUAGAUCUGCUUCCUAAAGGAGCUACAGAUGCCAUCAACAGUUAGAGAUGAAAUGCGGAAUCCUGAGCUCACAUCUUGAUAUACUAACACGGGUACCACUCUGAAACCUGCGAGGGACAGAGCAGCCGACUGGGGAUGCCUCAGGAUAAGAGCCAGGAGGAGCACUGUGCCCAGCAGGAAUCACUGGAGAAGGACAAACCAAAGCUGGGCCCUGUACCACUGUUGCCCUGAGCUGCAUGGGGCUGUGAGCACUGGGGCUUGUGACUUUGUAUUGGGAAUAAGGAGGGAGGCUGUCUCUCUGUGUGGGUUUGCCGAGAGCAGCAGAAGAGGGCACCGGAGGUGGUGGUUGUUGAACGUUUACUGGCACCUAAGACUCACUGCCAGAUUGGAACUCUGAGUACAGACUCAUUGCUUGGUGUCUUCCCUUUCACACUGUACUACCACUGGGCCUGUGGGGCCUUGUGUUUAAUGUAACAGUAUUUUACCACUCCCCCUAUCUUGCCUGCUGUUUUUCUUUGUUCAUCUCUGUAAAUAAAUAUUUCCAUUUCCUAUA